CCGGUUAUGAAGACUAAUUCAAAUAGCCACCUCCACAAUUUUUUGCUUAAAAUAUGCAAAGACUCAUUCAAAUCCCCGGGCCAGUUCAUCGGCUCCCAGCCUCCCCGUCACCUAUAUCUUCCAUCUUCCCGUGGCAGAAUUCAGAAAACCUUAGCAUCCCUCCUUCAAGUCUCCGUCAUCAGCACCAUACACUACCAUCUUUGCUUCUGCUGCCCAUUUGCACCACACCACCAUCACCUUCACAUAUUUCCCCUCUAUCUUAGAAGACAUUGACCAACAAACUUAUCUGCAAAAUAAAUCAGUGAAACUUAUCUGUAACAGUCAAAGUUAAAAUUGUAUUCCCUCAUUUUCAUUGUUCUCGGUGUUUCCAUAUUUUUAGCCAAUUGAAUAGGUAUACCACAUAAACUCUAUAUAAUCUCCUAUAUCUCAGUCACUAUAUAGUGUAUCGACAUUUGUUGAGAUCUAUGCUCCUCAUCCUUUCUCCCACCACGAACCGCUCCCCCUUUCUAUCAGCCUCGAAGCACCGCCACCGAGUCACCACCAUCUCAAUUAAAUACCUCCAACAGCUUAACGCUCCUCUAUCCCCUCAUGAAAACUCAUCUGGAGACAGCUGCGAAAUUCAUCGCACCCUCCUCAUCCGCCAAACCUUUCUUCUCCACAACAGUCUGAAAAACCUUAAAACCACGAUAAAAGGCCAUAUAUACACAACCAUCACCGCCCACCAUCACAGAAAAACCCAAAGAAACCUUCAUUUUUAUCAACGAGUUACAAAUCCCUAACCUCUUGCAUUUUCUUUUUCUGUAAUUUUCGUAGGUUGCAGGGCAUACAUAAACUUAUUCUCAAGAUUAAGCAACAUCUUUCCUGGUAGGCAUUCAUAGAUUUAAUUAUUUUCUUUUAUCAUCUCUUGCCGAAAAUGUAUUUGCUAUUUUUUUCUGUUCAUCUCUGAUUUGCUUAAAAAAAAUUUCGUUUUUGUUUUUUUGUUAUCUAAGAUGUGCAAUCUGAUUAAGCAAGCUUGGUGGAGCAUUUUAUGGAUGUUUUCAUAGGUGUAACCUCAGUCGUAGACAUGAGGAAGGGUUGCACACCAAGUGUUUGAUAAGAAUCUCCAGCUAAAUUUCAUCUCAAAUGGACAAGUUCAGUAUUCCUCGGUCUUUUUUCUUUCUUUUUUGAUGAAACUUUUUCAUGAUUUUAUGAAUCAUUUAUUUAACCGAGGGACCAAAUUUGGGUAAACGAAAAGGGUAUAUAAAAAAGAAAAAACACAUUUAAAUAUGGAUUUCUAAUACUAUAAGUUAUUUUGAAUGUCUUUUACAAAGAUCGGGUUUGUGAAGUGAUAUGAUGGUAUAGUAUUGCUUGAGAGAGUCGAAACAACGAGAUAAAAAUAGCACUUUGUAUUCAAAAAGGUUGUCCAGGGGGGAUAACUGGGAACAACAAAUUACAAUUGUAUGAGGACAAAUCAUUAGAUUGUGAUGUUCAACAAGGUAUAAUUUUUUUUUUAUCAUAUAUCAUGCUUUGUGAUUACAAAUAUGAAAAUAGUAAAACGGUUAUAAACUCAUUAAUAAUAAUAUUAAAAAGUUAUAUCAAACAUACCUCUGAAUGGGAUCAAGGUCCAAAUAGUUAUACUAAAAAGUUUACACAGUUAUACCAAAAAUACCCCUGAAUUGUGUAUAUUUUUAACUGCUUUUAAGCCAAACCUUGAGAUGAUUUAUACUCAUUUCUUUCAACUAUAUAUUUACAUAUUCAUUCCUUUUGAUAUUUAUAAAGAUGGGACAACAAAUUUUGCACAUGGGUAUCCAAUCUUUGCAACGUCUGUGGGAAUGCUCUUCAAAUGAAAGUUGCAGCUGCUGCUGUGGUAUGUAUCAUAUUCAUAAAGUAUUUCAUUUCUUUAAUUUAGUGGGUCAAAUAUAUAAAAAUAUCUUUUAGAACUAACCAGAUAUGAAAAUUAUGAUUUUUUUAAAUUAUCAUAACCCUUUAAUAUCUACUUCGAUUGUUGAGCUCAUAGACUUCAGCAAACGGUUAGUUUCUUUUAUGUUUAUUAGUUACUUUAUUUUAUUUUUAGACAAUUUAUUUUUACUUUUCAAGUAAAUAGUUUGACCGGUGGAAAUGAUAAUUCCUAGAGUAGUAUCACCAUCAUUUCGUCAAAAUCAUCUUCUAAACAAGAUGAUUUUCAUAUAAACCACGUGUUAAAGAUCGUUUCUGACAUUUUGGAGCUAUAUCAGGAGAGUGUGAAGGCCAACGAAAGCUUUUAAUCUUCAAAUUGGAAAAGUAAAUGGUUUACUUUGAAAAAUAAUUAUAUAUUUUAUUAUAAAUUAUUUUGGUAACUUAUUCUACGAAUUCAUUUCUUUUAUAUAUUUUUGAUGGUUGUAGUUUAUGUACAAGUUUUAGAAGCAUUAAAGUACGUUGCUGUAAUCAUGGAUUUUGAUAAAGUACAUUGAUAUUAAUUGCCAUGAAUAAAAUGUCUAAAAUACCUUUUAUAUGAUAUACAAAAAGGGGAGCUAACCAUAGCAAUCUUUUAUUUCUUACAUUUUAUGUGAUAUAAAAUACCUUCAUAUAUUA